UACGGAGGGUGCGAGCGUUGUCCGGAAUCACUGGGCGUAAAGGGCGCGUAGGCGGCCUGAUAAGUAGGGGGUGAAAUCUUGCGGCUUAACCGCAAGGCUGCCUUCUAAACUGUCAGGCUAGAGCACAGUAGAGGCAGGUGGAAUUCCCGGUGUAGCGGUGGAAUGCGUAGAGAUCGGGAAGAACAGUCAGUGGCGAAGGCGGCC
rnacentral:rRNA from 1 species